CGAACUUUUUUGUAUCCAAAAGAGCUUUUAUGUUAUCAGGUAUGACUCAAAAUGAAUCAUGUCUUUGUUCAAAAGCAUUAAAAGUGAUUAAAACUUCGUUAACAGGAAAACACUCUUGGUUAUCUUUAAUCAAGUGAGUUUUGAAUCCUUGUUCUUCCUGAUUUGAUUUUCUUUGAAAGUUAAAUGGUGUUGUCUAAACGUAAAAGUCAACAAAAAGUAAAAGAGUUUAGGCAAGAUGGUUAUCUUGAUUAAUUUUAGUAUGUAUUUGUCUUUUGCUGCCCUUUUCAGUUACAUAUGUUAGGUUAAUGUCCUUGCUAGCUGUUAAUUUGUUACUUUAGGAUAUAUUCUACAGAUGUUUGUAUGGAGCUUUCAAAUGGAGAAGGAAUAUAAAUAUUAGUCAGAUGAAUGCCAUAGCUAGUUGAAAGAAAAAUCCAAGAAUAAGGUUCAUGUAGCUCAUCAUGCUUGGUUUCUGGAAUGCCUAUCUUGAGGAAAAAGUUUAAUCUUUUGUGUCUGAAUACCUGGAUCUAUGUGGGAGAUCAUCUACUAAGACCAAAUAUGCUCAUUGCCUGUACAUUUGUUAAUCAUGAUAAUGUUAGUAAGUGGAAGAUGAGAUUGUUAAAAUUGUUAAGUGUUAUCUGUUGGGAUUUUUUAAUCUACCAAAUUAUUAUUUUGUUGAUGAACCUAUAGCUCUAGCUUACUCCUUUUGUAUUUGACUAUUUGUUGGCACACAUUUAAAUGACUAAUGUUCGUAAUCUCUGCAUCUUUUCUCGUAUAAUCAUCAAAAUUCAUUCUGAUCUUCAAACAUGCAUUGUUGUUGUUACUUAAAUACAAUUUGUAUUAUUAUCAUGAAGGGAAUAUCCUAAGAAAGAUCACGAACUAAAGAAAUUAGAGGCAGCACAGUUUUUCUAAAGAGUAGUCAGAUCACUUUCAGCAAAUAGGCGGUGAGCAAAUACCAUGUUAUCAAUCACAUAAGUAGCAGAUCGUCAUUUGUGGUUUAAGCCAAACAAUACUCUGAAGUAAUGUCAAGUCUACGUUUUGGUUCUACAUCAAAGCACACAUGCCUACAUCUUCUGCAGGAACAUCAAGCAUGGUGACAUUUGGCUAGGAACAAACAUAAUUAUUUUGCAGUUAUAGCAGGAGUGAUAUAUUUUGUUUGGAGGAUUGAAGGGUGUGCCGGAUCUAACCUUCCUUCACAUGUUGAUGCAAGCAAUGCAUGAUCUGUAAAAGGGCAAAGUCUUCCAAAUUCUUAUGGCUCAACUCAUGCUUUAGUUUUUGUAAAGGUCCUGAAAAUACAAGAGACGAGAGAACCGGAAAUGAACUGGCUCUUGGUCUAUCCAUACCAGCGAACGGCCUGUAAGUACUUUAUGUUCCUUCUUUAGACACUCACAUGCAACCCACAUAAAUCAUAGUGGUUUUUUUUCAUUUGGAGGAUAUGAUGUUGGCAACGACUAGUUGGCCUUUCAAUACUUAAUGUACUAAGUUGCGCGGACUCUUUGCUUCUGAUGUUGCACCCGUGUCGGAUUCUCCAAAAAUACACUACUUUUGGAGAAUUCGAUAGGACCCGCUGACAUUUUUGAAGAGUCCGAGCAACAUAUAUAGUUACUGAUGUUAGGUUCUCAGGGAAAAGCAAUGUUGUUGUUCCUUCUCCCGGUUCAUCUGAAAGGUUGUUAUGCAUGCCUUUCUUUUGUAUUAUAUUUAUGUAUAUUAAAUGAGAUAUUGGCUAUUUUUUGAAAUGACAUAGCUAUUUUUUGGUGAAGUUACUUUGUCUACUAGGCCU